UUGCAGUUAAAAAGCUCGUAGUUGGAUUUUGGUUAAGAGGGCGCGGUCGGCCGUUUGGUCUGUACUGCGUUGUCUUGACUUCCUGAUGAGGACAUGCUCUUGGUUAACGCUGAGACAUGGAGUCAUCGUGGUUACUUUGAAAAAAUUAGAGUGUUCAAAGCGGGCUUACGCUUGAAUAUAUUAGCAUGGAAUAACACUAUAGGACUCCUGUCCUAUCUCGUUGGUCUCGGGAUGGGAGUAAUGAUUAAGAGGAACAGUUGGGGGCAUUCGUAUUUCAUUGUCAGAGGUGAAAUUCUUGGAUUUAUGAAAGACGAACUUCUGCGAAAGCAUUUGCCAAGGAUGUUUUCAUUAAUCAAGAACGAAAGUUGGGGGCUCGAAGAUGAUUAGAUACCAUCCUAGUCUCAACCAUAAACGAUGCCGACUAGGGAUUGGUGGAUGUUAAUUGAUGACUUCACCAGCACCUUAUGAGAAAUCAAAGUUUUUGGGUUCCGGGGGGAGUAUGGUCGCAAGGCUGAAACUUAAAGGAAUUGACGGAAGGGCACCACCAGGCGUGGAGCCUGCGGCUUAAUUUGACUCAACACGGGGAAACUUACCAGGUCCAGACAUAAGUAUGAUUGACAGAUUGAGAGC
rnacentral:rRNA from 1 species